rnacentral:lncRNA from 1 species
GAAAGAGGUGGCAUCGGCAGCUCAAGACUGAUUUUUCUAUCUCUUCAGUGCCUCUUUCAACAAUAUGAAGUUCAAACCAGGUUUUGUGCAAAUAUCUGCUGAGUGAACUACUUAUUUGAAAAGACAUCAUUGGUUAAUAUUCCCUUUUGCUCAUUGAAAUCUCAAAGACUACAGACCCCGCACAAGACAUUCUGACAUUCCCGUCUUUGAAAUGAAUGACAGCAAUGAUAAAUAUGGCUCACCUCCAGAGAUACAGAUCUCACAACUUCAUAUUUUUAAUAUAAAUUAUUAAUCUGAGGUGUGGUGCAAUUCCAUUAGAUGAAAGAGAUCUACACAUUCAGAAGCACAUGAUUCUUCCCCCUUCCAUGAUUCCAGUGGCCAAUAGGUAAUCAGAACUUCUCUGUUCAGCUAAAAGACAGAAAAAGAGCAUAUGAAAGACGUAUUUUCCCAGAAGUGCUCAUCCUGAUAACUGUGUACAGCACUACUGCUCAUAUUCCAUUGGCCAAUAUUUAGGUAGAUAACUUCACUAACUACAAGGUAUGCUGGGAAAUAAAGUCCAGAUAUGUGUGA